rnacentral:rRNA from 1 species
AACGAACGCUGGCGGCAUGCCUAACACAUGCAAGUCGAACGAUGCCUUCGGGCAUAGUGGCGCACGGGUGCGUAACGCGUGGGAAUCUGCCUUUCGGUUCGGAAUAACUCAGGGAAACUUGAGCUAAUACCGGAUAACGUCGCAAGACCAAAGAUUUAUCACCGAAAGAUGAGCCCGCGUAGGAUUAGCUAGUUGGUGAGGUAAAGGCUCACCAAGGCGACGAUCCUUAGCUGGUCUGAGAGGAUGAUCAGCCACACUGGGACUGAGACACGGCCCAGACUCCUACGGGAGGCAGCAGUGGGGAAUAUUGGACAAUGGGCGAAAGCCUGGUCCAGCAAUGCCGCGUGAGUGAUGAAGGCCUUAGGGUUGUAAAGCUCUUUUACCCGGGAAGAUAAUGACGGUACCGGGAGAAUAAGCCCCGGCUAACUCCGUG